GGCCUGUUGAUUAUAAUUUUAGGUCUGGCCUGCCCAAUGAAGGAUUGAAUGGCCGCGGUAUAUUGACCGUGCAAAGGUAGCAUAAUCAUUAGUUUUUUAAUUGAAAGCUUGAAUGAAAGGUUUGAUGAAAAAAUUUCUGUCUCUGGAAAAAUUUAUUAGAAUUUUAUUUUUAAGUUAAAAAGCUUAAAUAAAUAUAGAAGACGAGAAGACCCUAUAGAGUUUUAUAUUUUUGUUUAUAGAUAAUUUAAGGUUAAAAAAUGUAUAUUUAUUUAUGGAAGUAUUUUAUUGGGGUGAUAAAAAAAUUGAUUAAACUUUUUUUAUAUAAAUACAUUUAUUUUUGAAUAAGUGAUCCUAAAGUUUAGAUUAUAAGAUAGAAUUACCUUAGGGAUAACAGCGUAAUUUUUUUUAGAGUUCUUAUCGAAAGAAAAGAUUGCGACCUCGAUGUUGGAUUAAAAUUAAUAUGUGGUGUAGAAGUUGCAUAAUUAGGUCUGUUCGACCUUUAAAAUUUUACAUGAUCUGAGUUUAGACCGGUGUGAG
rnacentral:rRNA from 1 species